UAAAAUUUGCCACAGACAUUCACGUGAUCAACAACAGACACACAUCAUGCCCCUAUCAUGGUCUAAACCAAUCAGAGACAGUCUCUAGAAGUUGCUAAAUGACGGCAUCGCCUAAUUUGCAUAAUUGGUCACGCUGAUGUAAUUGUAACCUACGUUGUUGGAGAGAGAAGUAACAUCGUGGAAGAGACAUAAAACCUGUUUCAAAUCAUAAGCAGACACAACCAAAAACCGCUUCAUGUCGGAAACAAACAGGUAAGACUUUUUAAAAAAAAUCUUUUAUCAUGAGGAGCAGAGAAGAUGACAAGAACAGGAAAGACUGAACUAACAGUCUUUUAGUAUACUUUUUAUUACAAACCCUAACGAGCAGUAACUGAUUAUGUGUUGCUCUACACUUGUAGGAUGCAUCUUAAAGGCAUGCGGGGCAGAGGAGAUGAGCGGAAGAGGAAACAGAUAUGGAGGACAGAUAGCGCCAUCGAUAUGUUGCUCAUCAAUGACCAACAAUUAGCAGAAAUCUGGCAACGGACAGUUGGCAAAAAGACGGCAUUACACCCCAAGCCUCCACUGUCCCAGUAACAGCGGAUUACCAUGGAGAGUAAAGUUUUCAGUUGGUAAA